UACGUAGGCAGCGAGCGUUGUUCGGAAUUACUGGGCGUAAAGAGUGUGUAGGCGGUGCUCUAAGUUCGGUGUGAAAUCUCCUGGCUCAACUGGGAGGGUGCGCCGGAAACUGGAGUGCUUGAGCGUGGGAGAGGAAAGCGGAAUUCCUGGUGUAGCGGUGAAAUGCGUAGAUAUCAGGAGGAACACCUGUGGUGUAGACAGCUUACUGGACCAUCACUGACGCUGAGACACGAAAGCGUGGGUAGCAAACAGG
rnacentral:rRNA from 1 species